GCUACAUGGUCACCCCGGCCUGCCCACGCGAGAGAGCGCAUGCAAACGCUUGAGGAGACGCGAGCGGCGAAUGGUGGGAAGGGACCGGGAGCCGACCAGACCGGGAAGAGUUUUUGAGACAGGGUUUCUACAUAGCCCUGGCCAUUUUGGAAGUCACUAUGUAGACUAGGCUCACAGAGAUCUUAUCUGCCUGCCUCUUCCUCCUGAGUUCUGGGGUUAAAGGCAUGUGCUACCACACCUGCAGAAGAAGUUAACAUUUAAAUUCCUGGACUUUGAGUAAAGCAUAUCAGCCAUUGUGAUGUGGAUUGGUGUCAUUUAAUCAAUUGAGGGGCUAAUUAGAAUGAAGAAGCUGGUCUGCCCUGAGCACAUGGAAUUCUCCAGAAGACGGUCUUUGAAUAUCAUUGUCAACACUGGCUUUUUCAUUGUCUCUUGGCAGACAGAUGGCUUUUGAAGUCCAUUAGUUCUUUUGAGUCUCCAGGCUGAAUAUCUUGGAACUGACAAGAUACUCCACAAGAG
ensembl:antisense Gm16124 predicted gene 16124